UAAAAGAUAAACUAAGUGAAGUUGUUUGGUUCAUAUCCAUACUAUAGAGUUAAUAUUCUUCUUUUUAC
rnacentral:tRNA from 1 species